rnacentral:rRNA from 1 species
UACGUAGGGUGCGAGCGUUAAUCGGAUUUACUGGGCGUAAAGCGUGCGCAGGCGGCCCGUUAAGACAGGUGUGAAAUCCCUGGGCUCAACCUAGGAAUUGCGCUUGUGACUGGCGGGCUCGAGUACGGUAGAGGGGGGUGGAAUUCCUGGUGUAGCAGUGAAAUGCGUAGAGAUCAGGAGGAACACCGAUGGCGAAGGCAGCCCCCUGGGCCUGUACUGACGCUGAGGCGCGAAAGCGUGGGGAGCAAACAGG